AUUGAAAUGAAUGGUCAGUAAAAGCCAUACAACGCAAUACGAAGCCUCUUUCAUUAUUUCAUCUUACCUCUAAUUUUUUUAGAUUCCCUCCAUUCUUUUUUUUCCCAUCAAAAUCAAACUUUUCCCUCUUUGAAAUAUUGAUUUCAUAGAUUACCUUUUCCAUCCCUCACGUCUAUCUCCACAUAUCACCUGUUUCUCACCAUCGUAAAGGCCAUUAGCCACCAUGGAUGCUAACUAACUCUCAUCUGAACUUUUUCUCUGUCAUUCCUUUCUCACAAACCAAGUUGGCAGUAGUGCCUCUUUUUCUGCUCUCAAGGAAGUUCGAUCUGUUGGUUGUUCUUUUGCAUUACAGAGGAAGACACAGAUGAGGGAAGUGAUGGAGAAAGCCGGGAAGGUGAUUGUGAAAUUUCAUAUAUGGAAUAUACAAGAUUUAUUUGGCUUAAGAACGAGGAUAUGCAGAGACCGGUACAUGGGUAGGAAAUUAGAUAAAGAAAGGGAGAAGUAUCAUGAUUGUCAUCACAGAGAUCAUCACAUGAAUCGAAAUGACAAAAAGGAAAGGGAGAGGAUAAAGAUAGAGAUGAAGAAAAUCAUCAUCAAAUUUGAGAUUUUGACCAGUACUGAACGAUCGGAUCACUGUUGAUGAGCUCAUGAGAGUAGGUAAAGAUUUCUGGGGUUUCGUGAAGAAGUGGUUCUAUUAGCAAUUCUAUUAGAAAAUCAUAUGGCUCGUAAUUUGAUGGGUCGUACAUGAUGUUCAAAAUUUGGCAUGCGGAAGACUUUAUUUUGAUCAAGAGUUUGAAGAAGUUUUUAUACGCUGUGUAUUGUAUAGUGUUGUAGCUAUUUCAAACACUAGUUAUUAGACACAAAAUGACACUAAAUAUAGGAUUUAAAUAAUUUAGUUUUU